UUUACUUGCAUUCUUUUAGUCCCACAUCGGCUGCAUCUCUGCGUUGUUCAGUGUUUAUAUAGAAGCAGCGAACCAAAUGGUUUGUCCCCUCGGGGACAUCCGAUAAAAUUGGAACGAUACAGAGAAGAUUAGCAUGGCCCCUGCGCAAGGAUGACACGCACAAAUCGAGAAAUGGUCCAAUUUUUUUUGCCGUUUUUGAAUUCGAUUUCUCUCCGUUCAGAUACGUUUCUGCAUUUCAUUUUGCGUUUUUGUUUUCUGUUUUCCUUUCAUGCUUCUGAUUAGAUUUUUACUGUUCUUGAAUCUUUUUGCUGCUAUUAGGUUUUUAUGACAGUUUUGAAAAUGGGGGGAGUGUAUUCCCAGCAAAUUGUUACAACACUUUUUCUUGUUUAUUUUGAUGAUUAAAUUUAGUUUUGAAUUGAAUUUUCUGAUAGGAAAAACAUUAAAUGAUUCCAGGAAAACAAUUGCUAAUCAUAUUGUUGGAAGUUGGAACCCUAAUUUAUAGCCUCUAUGAUUUGGUUAAUUAAUAUGAAUUUAGCCAAGUCUUGAGUGGCUAUUAUGAAUAUGAAUAUGAAUUUGAUUGAUAAUCAUAUUCCAGGAAAUUUUACUUUAUAUUUAGCUAUUCAUGGUUGUUAGUUAGGAAUUUCAUUCAUGAUGUAGCCAAUGCUUUGUGUUGGUUAAUAUUACUGUAUAUACUUGCUUUAAUGUUGAUUAUUGUUGUAACUCUAUUUGGUGGUAAUUGUAUAAAGUUUGUACUAUUAGCUAAAGAUCUAAUAUAAUUAUAGAAGAGGAGUUUGUUGCUAGCAUAAUUUAUUAUAGAAUUUUGUUUACUGAAAUGGUUAACAUGUGUAGUGUAUCAAUUAUUCUGCAUAAUCCUGUGUGUAAAAACUCGGAAUCAUGAGUAAGCCUAUUGGGAUAGAGAUGGAGAUUCCAAAUAGCUAAAGGCUUAAAACUCCAAAGGGCCGGGUCAGUGUAAAAUCUGAUGCCGUUGUUAGUGGUAAAUUGAAUCAAUUCCAAAGGCAUUAUAGUUUCCGUGGAACCAGUAAUCCAGGACUGCAGAGAGCGAAUGAGGCACCAGCUUGGGGAUGCCACUGUCACUCGCUGAACUCUAAGGCACACAAUCUUGUGGGAGUACAGUAGCUUAUAUAGUGGGAUAAAGAAUAUGGACGAGGAAUGCCUCGAGCCUUUCUGUUCAUGCUUUAUGUACUUCGUUAUGAAUAAAAAUUGGAAAAAUAAUUCCUAAGUCUUAAAAAUGUGUAAGUUUUUGUGUUAGUAAAUUUUUUAAUCUCUUAAUUUUCUAACAAUUUCUGAGUGGAGCACUAAGCAUUGAGUAGGACGCUGAAUAAUUAUGAGAAACAGGCAAAGGACAAUCUUGAAUCUUGUGUAGCAAAGCAAUAGAAUUCGUCUUCUUUAAAUCUUCCUCUACUACUAAACAGACUUUGGAUUUAUUUAUUGAAAUGUAGAUUGCCUCCAAGUAAAUGAAAUAUGCAUGUAUAAGAAUUAGUAGUAGAGCUUAGGUGAGCAUUACCAUUUAUUGCUCUGAAGAGAGACAAUACAGUCACACAGUUAUUUAAUUUACACUGACGGAUCAGAUUAAUCCCUAAAUUGCACAUUUAUCUUGAAAUCAAAGACUAGUGUGAAAUCCAAUGAUGUAAACUCAUUGGCUGCACGGAAUCCAUAUCCGUGAUUGUGAUCAAUAGAGUAAUGAGCAUUAGUAUAAUUUACUUUGUAUUAUAUCACAUGUAAAUACUCAGACAAGUGCACUCUUGUAAUUAAAUUUUCAUUUAUACAAAAAAUAAGAACUCUUUCUGCCCUAGUACACUUCCUUCUCUGUUAUUUAAGUUUCACUGUUUUUCUACUGGUGAAAUGGUUGACAUGUGCAGGUGCAACUCAACUAAUCUGCAUAAUUCUGUGGAAAUUGUGGAAAUCUAGGAAUCAUGCUGGCUUCAAUCACCAUUCACCAAGUAGCCAACUCCCUUUGGAAUCUGACAGUUGAAGUCGUGCUUUGGGAGUGAGAUUGUGAUUCCAAAUAGCAAAAGACCUAAAACUCCAAAGAGUCGAUGUAAAAUCUGAUGCAGUCGUUGUCGUCAAUUGCAUCAAUUCCAAAGGCAUAAUAGCUGCCAUGGAACUUGGUACACUUUCUUGGGGAUGCCACUGUCACCCAUAUCAGAAGGAAGCUGAACUCUAAUGCACACAACCUUGUCGUGUUACUAUUCUUUGCGAACCGUUCAGAUCAGUUAUACUAACUGGAAAUUUCUUCAGCAGUUCUCCAUCUCUAACUGGAAAUCGUCAUAGCCCCCUAUCAUAUUCAAAUUUGUAUCUUAAUAUCCUAGAUUAGGUAAUGAAACUGUGUUCUUUUACUAACCCUUGUUUAUGCAUUACAUGAAUUUUCAAUUGUCACAUGAAAAUCUGGCUUAUUUCACAUAAAAGUAAUGUAAAUCUUGAUUACAGAGGAAAUAGAGAGGUGCUAUUUUAGGGGAAUAUACGAAUUGAAAUUUUUCUAUAAUGUGCAGUUUCUCUUAUGCUUGAUUAUGUGAAAGAUUUCAUUGAUGGAAAUUCUUCUAUUAUAGAUCUGCCCUAUGAAACACUGACGCCUGCACGUCGAUAUUUGCAUUUGUUCAUUGGGAAUUUAGUUUGUUGUAUGUAUGGAACGUCAUACCCAAAAUUAUGCAGCACUAUGACAUUGGCUAUAGCUGAGUAAUGGUAUACAACUUUCAACUUUUUGGAUACAUCCCCGAUAUCCAACUUCUUAUUGAGACAUCAUAUUCUAUAAGUUUAACCAUUAAAGGACUUUACAAGUGAUGAAGAAUGAUUCAAAAAUGAUGGAUCAAAAGAACAUUGGAUAUCUGGUUUUUCCUUUCUGUGACUUGAUUUCACUUUUGCAGUUUUGCUCUGGUUUAUGUGUAUAUCAUUUAGUUAAAGUAAUUUAAGGACUGAACAUGUUGCAGAGAAAAACAUGUAGGCAUGAUUGUAUGUUUUUAUCUUUUGUUGCUUUGUUGUGCUAAUGCUAAUGAUCAGUCUUGAAUAGGAAAUCCCUUGACUCAUCAUGCUUGCAUUUUCCGAUCUGAUAUGGAGAAAGAUCUUCAAAUAUUGCUUCAUUCAUUGUCUUAAAAAUUGGUCCAGCAGGCGAAACUAUUUCAAGAGCAGAUAUUUGCUUUGCUUUCAUGAAAUGUUUAUGUUAUUGAAUUAAGAGUUACUUUGGAUUAGUGAAUUUGGUUGUGUGAUUUGCUUAGUGAAUCGUUUUUCCCUUUGUUGGUAAGCAACCUCAAUUAUGUAUAUCUGCAAUUACAAUCAGAAUCUGCUUCUUGUUGUCAUUUUGAAACAAAAUAAACAUCUUUUGAUUGCUAACAAUGGUUACGAGUUUCAAAGAUAUCUAGACUUAAACAUUUUUUGGCAAAAGAUCUUAAGUAGAAAAGUCGUAUGUAAACGUGGACAAAAUGCUAUAUUGAACAAUGCUCAUAGAAAAUAUCAAAUCUUGAGCUGUGUUAUUUAUUCCAUUUGAAAGCUAAUAAAAAGAUCUAACACUCUAUUGCUUAUAGGAAAAGCAAAUUCAACCUCUAACAUAGUAAAAUAGUAGCUAGAUAUU